GAAUGACUCUAUGGUUGUUUAUUUCUCAUUUUUUUAUAGCCUGUACGAUGUCAUUUCUGUAUUAGCUCUAUCUGAUCAUUC
rnacentral:snoRNA from 1 species